UACGAAGGGGCUAGCGUUGCUCGGAAUCACUGGGCGUAAAGGGUGCGUAGGCGGGUCUUUAAGUCAGGGGUGAAAUCCUGGAGCUCAACUCCAGAACUGCCUUUGAUACUGAGGAUCUUGAGUUCGGGAGAGGUGAGUGGAACUGCGAGUGUAGAGGUGAAAUUCGUAGAUAUUCGCAAGAACACCAGUGGCGAAGGCGGCUCACUGGCCCGAUACCUGACGCUGAGGCACGAAAGCGUGGGGA
rnacentral:rRNA from 1 species